CAACGAGCGCAACCCUUGCCUUUAGUUGCCAGCAGUUCGGCUGGGCACUCUAAAGGGACUGCCGGUGUUAAACCGGAGGAAGGUGGGGAUGGACGUCAAGUCCUCAUGGCCUUUAUGACCAGGGCUACACACGUACUACAAUGGCCGAUACAAAGGGCAGCGACACUGCGAGGUGAAGCCAAUCCCGUAAAAUACGGUCUCAGUCCGGAUUGGAGUCUGCAACUCGACUCCAUGAAGUUGGAAUCGCUAGUAAUCGUGGAUCAGCAUGCCACGGUGAAUACGUUCCCGGGCCUU
rnacentral:rRNA from 1 species